ACUCGCAGCCCAAUUGGUGACGCUGCAGAAUGAACUGGAGCUGGCGGAGACCAAAUGCGCCUUGCAGGAGGAGAAGCUGCAGCAGGACGCGCUGCAGACAGCGGAGGCCUGGGCCAUAUUCCAGGAGCAGACCGUAGUCCUGCAGGUGCGGCCCCACUCAGACGCCAAGGUGCCUCCCGCCUCUCCUCCCCCAGACCUGGGGCGGUGUGACGGGCAGCUUCGCGGAGUGCAGUACAGCACCGAGUCGCUCAUGGAGGAGAUGGCCAGGGCGGACCGAGUGAGCGCCUGCGCGGGUCCGGGCGGGGUGGGCUGGAGCGGGACAACCCUCCCCGUCCCCCCCGCGGUACCGCCUCCCCCUCCUCCUGGAAACCGGGCCGGCGCCGCGGGCGCGGAGGUAGCUGGAUGCGGCCCUCUCUCCCCGCAGGAGACGCGGCUGUUCGGCGGCCCUCGCGCGCUGGCCAUCAGGUGAGCCG
rnacentral:lncRNA from 1 species